rnacentral:rRNA from 1 species
UGCAGCUUGCUGCGGGUACUCGAGUGGCGAACGGGUGAGUAACACGUGGGUGAUCUGCCUUGCACUUCGGGAUAAGCUUGGGAAACUGGGUCUAAUACCGGAUAGGACAGCUGUUUAGUGUCAGUUGUGGAAAGUUUUUUCGGUGCAAGAUGAGCUCGCGGCCUAUCAGCUUGUUGGUGGGGUAAUGGCCUACCAAGGCGUCGACGGGUAGCCGGCCUGAGAGGGUGUACGGCCACAUUGGGACUGAGAUACGGCCCAGACUCCUACGGGAGGCAGCAGUGGGGAAUAUUGCACAAUGGGCGGAAGCCUGAUGCAGCGACGCCGCGUGGGGGAUGAAGGCCUUCGGGUUGUAAACUCCUUUCGACAGGGACGAAGCGUAAGUGACGGUACCUGUAUAAGAAGCACCGGCUAACUACGGGCCAGCAGCCGCGGUAAUACGUAGGGUGCGAGCGUUGUCCGGAAUUACUGGGCGUAAAGAGCUCGUAGGUGGUUUGUCGCGUCGUCUGUGAAAUUCCGGGGCUUAACUCCGGGCGUGCAGGCGAUACGGGCUGACUUGAGUGCUGUAGGGGAGACUGGAAUUCCUGGUGUAGCGGUGAAAUGCGCAGAUAUCAGGAGGAACACCGAUGGCGAAGGCAGGUCUCUGGGCAGUAACUGACGCUGAGGAGCGAAAGCAUGGGUAGCGAACAGGAUUAGAUACCCUGGUAGUCCAUGCCGUAAACGGUGGGCGCUAGGUGUAGGGGGCUUACACGUCUUCUGUGCCGUAGCUAACGCAUUAAGCGCCCCGCCUGGGGAGUACGCCGCAAGGCUA